CGUUCCUGCAAUGCCCGCCACAUCCUUGGAGCCUCUAGCAGCGAAGGCGAGGAAUUCGGGUGCUCGACCCGGCAGCUGACGGUAGAAAUGGAUGAAAUCGCCGCUCACUUUUUGGGGAUGUGAGCAGAAAAUGCCAUGCAAGGGGAGAUGGGAGAGGACGACAGAGCAGAGCGCACUUUGAUAUGUUUGAAUCCUCAAGUAUGGAGACGUAAUUCUCUGAGAGUAUUUGAUUGAAGACGGAAGAAAAUUUGAGAUCAUCUGGGUGGACAGAGGACAAGUAAGAACAGAAAAGGAAGAGAAGAGCAAGAGAUGAAUCUUGAGCAUGGGCCGAUCUCACACAGCCCGCUGACCCGAACGUCCCAGGUCGCGAACGCCACGCACCGAGCAGCAGCGCGGCCAGCGCCGGCAGCCCCGCGGCCCGAGCCCGCCGCAUGGCGCCGC